GAUGAACGCUGGCGGCGUGCCUAAUACAUGCAAGUCGAGCGAACAGACGAGGAGCUUGCUCCUCUGACGUUAGCGGCGGACGGGUGAGUAACACGUGGAUAACCUACCUAUAAGACUGGGAUAACUUCGGGAAACCGGAGCUAAUACCGGAUAAUAUAUUGAACCGCAUGGUUCAAUAGUGAAAGACGGUUUUGCUGUCACUUAUAGAUGGAUCCGCGCCUCAUGAGCUAGUUGGUAAGGUAACGGCUUACCACGGCAACGAUGCGUAGCCGACCUGAGGGGGUGGUCGGCCACACUGGAACUGGGACACGGUCCAGACUCCUACGGGAGGCAGCAGUCGGGAAUCUUCCGCAAUGGGCGAAAGCCUGACGGAGCAACGCCGCGUGAGUGAUGAAGGUCUUCGGAUCGUAAAACUCUGUUAUUAGGGAAGAACAAAUGUGUAAGUAACUAUGCACGUCUUGACGGUACCUAAUCAGAAAGCCACGGCUAACUACGUG
rnacentral:rRNA from 1 species